rnacentral:tRNA from 1 species
GCCCGGAUGGCUUAGUCGGUUGAGCGUCCAACUCUUGAUUUGGCUCAGGUCAUGAUCUCAGGGUCGUGGGAUCGAGCCCCACAUUGGGCU